rnacentral:rRNA from 1 species
CCUACGGGCGGCAGCAGUGAGGAAUAUUGGUCAAUGGGCGGGAGCCUGAACCAGCCAAGUCGCGUGAGGGAAGACGGUCCUAUGGAUUGUAAACCUCUUUAGGCGGGGAGCAAUGCCGGGCACGCGUGCCCGGAGGGAGAGUACCCGCAGAAUAAGCAUCGGCUAACUCCGUGCCAGCAGCCGCGGUAAUACGGAGGAUGCGAGCGUUAUCCGGAUUUAUUGGGUUUAAAGGGUGCGUAGGCGGAUUUUUAAGUCAGCGGUAAAAUGUCCGGGCUCAACCCGGGCCGGCCGUUGAAACUGGGGAUCUUGAGUGAAGUAGAGGUUGGCGGAAUUCCGAGUGUAGCGGUGAAAUGCGUAGAUAUUCGGAGGAACACCGGUGGCGAAGGCGGCCAACUGGGCUUUAACUGACGCUGAGGCUCGAAAGUGUGGGGAGCAAACAGGAUUAGAUACCCCUGUAGUC